AGGGAUAUGUGGUAGAAGGUUCUACAUUUUGAUUGCAGAUCGAAAAUUCGGGGUUCAAUUCCUCCGUAUCUCUU
rnacentral:tRNA from 1 species